rnacentral:rRNA from 1 species
UGUGAUAGGGGACUCUAAGUGCUUUGCUUUUGCAAGGCUUUUUUCAAGAGCAAAUAUCUUGAAGAAUAAGUGGUGGGCAAUACCUGUGCCAGCCGCCGCGGUAAUCCAGGAACCACAAGUGGCAGCCACGUUUAUUGGGCCUAAAGCGUCCGUAGCAGGUUUAGUAAAUUUUCUGUGAAAUCAUUAAGCUUAACUUAAUGGCACGCAGAAAAGACUGCUAGACUUGAGAUUGGGAGGAGUCAGAGGUAUUUUGGGGGGAGCGGUAAAAUGCUAUAAUCCUCAAAAGACCACCUGUGGCGAAGGCGUCUGACUAGAACAAAUCUGACUGUGAGGGACGAAAGCUAGGGGAGCAAUCCGGAUUAGAUACAGCUUUUUGCGUUAGCAAAAACCUGGGAAAAAUCCAGUAAGUGUACCAAGCAUAUUGUGAUUGCAUUAAAAGAACUACAAUAGAGCAUGGUUUUUAUCGCAAAAAAGUUGCUAACUACCCGAGUAGUCCUAGCUGUAAACGCUGCGAGCUAGGUGUUGCAUAAUCUUCGUGAUUAUGCAGUGUCGAAGCGAAGGUGAUAAGCUCGCCGCCUGGGGAGUACGGCCGCAAGACUGAAACUUAAAGGAGUUGGCGGGGGAGCACUACAAGGGGUGCGGCGUGCGGUUUAAUCUAAUUCAACGCAGAGAAACUCACCAGGAGCGACGGCAGGAUGAAGGUCAGGUUAAAGGCCUUACCUGACGAGCCGAGAGGUAGUGCAUGGCCGUCGUCAGCUCGUGCCGUGAGGUGUCCUGUUAGCGGUGUCCUGUGAAUCAUGAUCAGGAUAUUUUUGAGGACAUCGGCAGAGAGUCAGGCAACGAGCGAGACCUGCACUCAUAAUUGCUAACAGCUCUUAUAGAGGACUGAGCACAUUAUGAGGACUGCCUUUGAAAAAAGGAGGAAGGUGCAGGCUACGGUAGGUCUGUAUGCUCCGAAUCUUCUGGGCUACACGCGCGCAACAAUGGUACGGACAAUGGGAUGCAACUCCGAAAGGAGAAGCUAAUCUUCGAAACCGUAUCUCGGUCCAGAAUUGAGGAUUGUAACUCAUCCUCAUGACGUUGGAAUCCCUAGUAAUCAGG